AUGCUGCUGUCAGUACGAUCUGUAAUGAGCACUAAGGCAAGUGCAGAGAAAUGUGACGCUGUACUCCACAAAAGCAGUAUUUGCAAUUUUGCACUGACUGGAAUUUUUAGCAGUACUCAAGCUCGGCUACAGCGACUUGGCAUCAGGUAUGAAGCAGUCAUUUGCUUUCAAGCUCGGCUACAAGGAGGAUCUAUCUACUUCGGGAAACAAAUAUGCCAUGACGGGUCUGCACUCUUUGGUGCUUUUUAUGCACCUGUUGAGGAAAUGUGUCAGUUUGGUGAGGACCGUGUUCAGGCUGCACUCUUCUGUACAGUGUUUUUAAAUUCACAAUAA
rnacentral:rRNA from 1 species